rnacentral:rRNA from 1 species
UACGUAGGGUGCAAGCGUUGUCCGGAAUUAUUGGGCGUAAAGAGCUCGUAGGCGGUUUGUUGCGUCGGCUGUGAAAUCCCGAGGCUCAACCUCGGGUCUGCGGUGGGUACGGGCAGACUAGAGUGAUGUAGGGGAGACUGGAAUUCCUGGUGUAGCGGUGAAAUGCGCAGAUAUCAGGAGGAACACCGAUGGCGAAGGCAGGUCUCUGGGCAUUAACUGACGCUGAGGAGCGAAAGCAUGGGAGCGAACAGG